GUCUUUUUGUUAAUAAUUUAAAGUCUAAUCUGCCCACUGAUAUAUUUAUUAAAGGGCUGCAGUAUUUUGACUGUACAAAGGUAGCAUAAUCAUUAGUCUUUUAAUUGGUGACUUGUAUGAAAGAUUGGAUGAAAUAUAAACUGUCUCUUUUAUAAAAAAAAAAUUGAAUUUAAUUUUUUAAUUAAAAAGUUAAAAUUAUUUAAAAAGACGAGAAGACCCUAUAGAGUUUUAUAAUUUAUUUUGUAAAUAUUUUUAUUUUUAUAUUUUUAUAAUUUUAAAUUAUUUUGUUGGGGUGAUAAAGAAAUUUAAUUAACUUUUUUUAAUAGUUUACAUUAAUAAGUGAUUAAAUGAUCCAAUUUUAUUGAUUAAAAGAAAAAAUUACCUUAGGGAUAACAGCGUAAUUUUUUUUUUUAGUUCAAAUAAAAAGAAAAGUUUGCGACCUCGAUGUUGGAUUAAGAUAAAAUUUAAAUGUAGAAGUUUAAAAUUUUGAUCUGUUCGAUCAUUAAAAUCUU
rnacentral:rRNA from 1 species